GACGGAGGGGGCUAGCGUUGUUCGGAAUUACUGGGCGUAAAGGGCGCGUAGGUGGCCAUGUGUGUCAGAGGUGAAAUCCCAGAGCUUAACUUUGGAAUUGCUUUUGAAACUGCAUGGCUUGAGUGAUAGAGAGGUAAGUGGAAUUCCGAGUGUAGCAGUGAAAUGCGUAGAUAUUCGGAGGAACAUCGGUGGCGAAGGCGACUUACUGGCUAUCAACUGACACUGAGGCGCGAAAGCGUGGGGAGCAAACAGG
rnacentral:rRNA from 1 species